rnacentral:rRNA from 1 species
CAUCAGACCUCUAAUCGGAAAAGACUACCCGCUGAGUUUAAGCAUAUCAAUAAGCCGGGA